GUAAAAAUGAUGUUGACGCUGGUACAUUUAACAUGAAAAAGCACGUUCUUCUCCCCUGUUAAUCUAUUUUUGGAAUGAUGUUACUAGACGGCCAUAAAGAAGAAUAACCCCAGGAAGUACCUUCGCAGUGUAGGAGAUGGAGAGACUGUGGAGUUUGAUGUUGUUGAAGGAGAAAAGGGUGCGGAGGCAGCUAAUGUUACAGGCCCUGGUGGAGUUCCAGUUCAAGGCAGUAAAUACGCAGCAGACCGUAACCAUUAUAGACGCUAUCCACGUCGUAGGGGUCCUCCACGCAAUUACCAGCAAAAUUACCAGAAUAGUGAGAGUGGGGAAAAGAAUGAAGGAUCGGAAAGCGCUCCUGAAGGCCAGGCCCAACAACGCCGGC
rnacentral:lncRNA from 1 species